CUUGCAAAGGCAAAACUCCUACUGACUUCCGUGAAAGCUUUGGGUAAAUAAAGACUGCAGGAUCAGCUUCUAUACUUGUAAGUGAUCCUUCCUCUGCCCGCUCCUGUAACAGUGGGACGGUAAUGCUACAGCAAAGCAUUGUGCCUCAGGAGACUGGAAAUAAAAUUCUAUUAUGAGACUUCACGUGAUGAGCCUUGCUGAAUUGCUGACACCGGCCCUGGAUACAGUGUUCCGGUAGUGGUUGCAUCAGUGCCAAAUACAGGGGUAAUAUAACUUCUCUAUUCAUACUCAAGAUUCACCUUUUAUACAUCCCAGGGUUAUAUUAGCCCAUGUGGUCACAGCAUAGCUCUAGGAGCUCAUAUUCAGCUGAGUAUAAACCAUGACCUCAGGUCUUUUUCAGAGUCAUUUUUUCCCAGGAUAGAGACCCCUGUCCUAUAAGUAUGGCCUACAUAUUGACUCAGGUGAACUACUGUGAAAGUGGUUGUACAUAAUAUAGUUGAAACACUUAUGUAAAAUAUACUAAACAGAUAUGUCAAGGCAAGGACAGGUGUAUUGGCCACAAACUAUUCUGUUUAAAGAGAAGAUGUACACUGCAUAAAUGUGCAAUUAAACUCUGUCUUCAUGGUCCAGAUCAUGCCCUCCUGCAGGAAAAGUCCAUGGGAAAAAAUCAGGGUAGACAAACACUUCAUAGCAUCCUCACAGAAUU